UGUUAAUUUAUAACACAUUGAGCUUGCUAUUGAUUUCUACAUUUUUCUUUAUUGUAUUUGAAUUUAUAUUUUAUGAUAACCUGAACAUACUUGAAUUUUCAUUAUCAAUUUGAAUCCUCUCAGUCUGUCUCACUCAUAGAAAUCAUCAGACUGCUAAGCAGCCAUCACAUCUCAUUUGCGAUUUUCUAGUCUGUAACCUGGUUGAGUAGAGUUACCUUCUCUAAUUAAGUUAUAUCCUUAGUUCUCAAUUGCACUGUAUAUAUUUCCUCUGUUAUUUUGCAUUUUGCAAAUAGGGUUGAUGGUGUUUUUAGUUCCUAAAAAUUUCCAAAUUUUGGUGUUUUAGUCCCAGACUUUAAAGUCAAGGAUAAAACAAAAGUUUGGAUACUUUUCAGUGACUAAAAGCACUAUUAACCACUUGAACAUUUUAGGUGGAUGAGAUAAAAUCCCACAGAGCAAGCUCUAACAAGGUAUCUUUUUUAGUGUAGACUGGAGAGUUCUCAACUUUUUUUCAAUAAAAUAGAAGACAAAUCUCCCAAGUUAAAUUCAUAAAUCUCCAUCAGCAUAAACUCUUGAGAAAUGGUGCUUAUUGCUUUGUACUCCCCAAGAAAGCUUCGUCGUGAGCAUUAAAAUAUGAUCAAAGCUGUUAUCUUUGUGCUUCAAUGCACAUAAGACGUAUGAGAAGGUGUGAAUAAGAUGUGGAGCAUUGAGAUCCAAAGAGUAUUUUUUGUGUAUAAAUAAAUGAUCACAGGUAACAUUAGCAUUACAAUGGAGGCGGUGAAAUCAAAGCAUAACCGACGAAUAAUAAUAGAUACAAUUGAGAGAAUCAUCCCUUUUCAACAACUCACGAAUAUUAAAGUAGGCACAAAACAAACGCACCAAAAUGCAUAUUCAUAUAAAUAUAUUAAGAUGUACCAAUGAAGUAUUCUUUUAACCAAGAGAAAUAUAGUAAUAAAUUUGAGCCAUCAAUUUCUAUUUUG